rnacentral:rRNA from 1 species
UACACUCCUGCGGGAGGCAGCAGUGGGGAAUUUUGGACAAUGGGCGAAAGCCUGAUCCAGCAAUGCCGCGUGAGUGAAGAAGGCCUUCGGGUUGUAAAGCUCUUUUGUCAGGGAAGAAACGGUGAAAGCUAAUAUCUUUUGCUAAUGACGGUACCUGAAGAAUAAGCACCGGCUAACUACGUGCCAGCAGCCGCGGUAAUACGUAGGGUGCAAGCGUUAAUCGGAAUUACUGGGCGUAAAGCGUGCGCAGGCGGUUUUGUAAGUCUGAUGUGAAAUCCCCGGGCUCAACCUGGGAAUUGCAUUGGAGACUGCAAGGCUAGAAUCUGGCAGAGGGGGGUAGAAUUCCACGUGUAGCAGUGAAAUGCGUAGAUAUGUGGAGGAACACCGAUGGCGAAGGCAGCCCCCUGGGUCAAGAUUGACGCUCAUGCACGAAAGCGUGGGGAGCAAACAGGAUUAGAUACCCGGGUAGUCCCAUGA